UCAUUCCUACGGGGGGCAGCAGUGGGGAAUAUUGCACAAUGGGGGAAACCCUGAUGCAGCGACGCCGCGUGAGUGAAGAAGUAUUUCGGUAUGUAAAGCUCUAUCAGCAGGGAAGAAGAAGGACGGUACCUGAGUAAGAAGCCCCGGCUAACUACGUGCCAGCAGCCGCGGUAAUACGUAGGGGGCAAGCGUUAUCCGGAUUUACUGGGUGUAAAGGGAGCGUAGACGGCGGCGCAAGCCAGAUGUGAAAGCCCGGGGCUCAACCCCGGGACUGCAUUUGGAACUGUGCCGCUAGAGUGUCGGAG
rnacentral:rRNA from 1 species